rnacentral:rRNA from 1 species
AACGAACGCUGGCGGCAUGCCUAACACAUGCAAGUCGAACGAAGGCUUCGGCCUUAGUGGCGCACGGGUGCGUAACGCGUGGGAAUCUGCCCUUGGGUUCGGAAUAACAGUUAGAAAUGACUGCUAAUACCGGAUGAUGUCGUAAGACCAAAGAUUUAUCGCCCAGGGAUGAGCCCGCGUAAAGAUUAGGUAGUUGGUGGGGUAAAGGCCUACCAAGCCGACGAUCUUUAGCUGGUCUGAGAGGAUGAUCAGCCACACUGGGACUGAGACACGGCCCAGACUCCUACGGGAGGCAGCAGUGGGGAAUAUUGGACAAUGGGCGAAAGCCUGAUCCAGCAAUGCCGCGUGAGUGAUGAAGGCCUUAGGGUUGUAAAGCUCUUUUACCAGGGAUGAUAAUGACAGUACCUGGAGAAUAAGCUCCGGCUAACUCCGUGCCAGCAGCCGCGGUAAU